AUAACACCCCUCCUCGGGGUUUAAUCCAUGUCCUCCCUGAGAGCGGUGAUUAAUUUUUUACAAGCUAAUCAUAUCUCUUAGGCAGGCUGUCAGCGGAGGACAUGUCAUCUCUCAUCAAUAAUGAAGAUCCCAGCGCCCUGCUCCCACAGCCUCCUGCAUAAUUCACCAGGAGGACAAAAGCCUGGGGGCCCGGUCCCCCUAAUCUCCUCCUUUUGUCAUUAUCCUCGUUGCCGGUGGUGUCAGGAGAGAUCUGCUGAGAACCAUGGCACAAGUUCCCCACCCCUGGUGGCAGGAAGUGGCCUUGACACAAUGGACCUGUUGCACUUCCGCAGGAGGACACCUCAGACCCCAGCACCUCCUCCAGGUCAGAGUCCCCCGUCC
rnacentral:lncRNA from 1 species